GACGUCGAAUAUCGACGUCAUAAACGCCAAAGUUGAUCGUGUUUAUGACGUCGAAUAUCGGCGUCAUAAACACCUAAGUUGAUCGUGUUUAUGACAUCGACGUCGUAAACACUUAAGUUGGUCGCGUUUAUGAUGUCGAAUAUCGACGUCAUCAACACCUAAGUUGAUCUUGUUUAUGACGUCGACGUCAUAAACACCUAAGUUGGUCGUGUUUAUGACGUCGAAUAUCGACGUCAUAUACACCAAGGUUGAUCGUGUUUAUGUCGUCCACUAUCGACGUC